rnacentral:rRNA from 1 species
AGCGAACGCUGGCGGCAGGCUUAACACAUGCGAGUCGAGCGGACCUUUCGGGGUCAGCGGCGGACGGGUGAGUAACGCGUGGGAACGUGCCUUCCGGUUCGGAAUAACCCUGGGAAACUAGGGCUAAUACCGGAUACGCCCUUAUGGGGAAAGGUUUACUGCCGGAAGAUCGGCCCGCGUCUGAUUAGCUAGUUGGUGGGGUAACGGCCUACCAAGGCGACGAUCAGUAGCUGGUCUGAGAGGAUGAUCAGCCACACUGGGACUGAGACACGGCCCAGACUCCUACGGGAGGCAGCAGUGGGGAAUAUUGGACAAUGGGCGCAAGCCUGAUCCAGCCAUGCCGCGUGAGUGAUGAAGGCCUUAGGGUUGUAAAGCUCUUUUAUCCGGGACGAUAAUGACGGUACCGGAGGAAUAAGCCCCGGCUAACUUCGUG